rnacentral:misc_RNA from 1 species
AACUGAUACUACCUGCGGGAACCUGCGGAGGGAUCAUUAAUGAGAAACUGCCCCUCGCGGGUAGAUCUCCCACCCUUUGUAAACUUACCUUUGUUGCUUUGGCAGGCCCGUCUCCGGACCGCCGGCUUCGGCUGGCCAGUGCCUGCCAGAGGAUUCUAAAACUCUGUCUGUCAGUGUUGUCUGAGUCUAUAUACAAUCGUUAAAACUUUCAGCAACGGAUCUCUAGAUCGGAAGAGCACA